GAAGCCCCCCUCAAGAUGAGAUUUCCCAAUUAGUAAGACCCCUUGAAGACGACGAGGUAGAUAGGUUGGAGGUGGAAGUGCAGCAAUGCAUGGAGCUGACCAAUACUAAUCGGUCGAGGGCUUAUCCUA
rnacentral:rRNA from 1 species